rnacentral:rRNA from 1 species
CCUACGGGUGGCAGCAGUGGGGAAUAUUGGGCAAUGGGCGCAAGCCUGACCCAGCAACGCCGCGUGAAGGAAGAAGGCUCUCGGGUUCUAAACUUCUUUUAAGCGGGAAGCGCAGACGACGAUACCCCUUCAAUAAGCCACGCCUAACUACGUGCCAGCAGCCGCCGUAAUACGUAGGUGGCCAGCGUUGUCCAGAUUUACUGGGUGUAAAGGGCGUGCAGCCGGAGAGACAAGUCAGAUGUGAAAUCCACGGGCUCAACCCGUGAACUGCAGUUGAAACUGUUUCCCUUGAGUGUCGGAGAGGUAAUCGGAAUGCGUGGUGUAGCGGUGAAAUGCGUAGAUAUAAGGAAGAACACCAGUGGCGAAGGCAGAAUACUGGACGAUAACUGACGGUGAGGCGCGAAAGCGUGGGGAGCGAACAGGAUUAGAUACCCUGGUAGUC